CGUGUAGGCGGUCGAGUAGGUGAGAUGUGAAAUGCUCCGGCUUACCCGGAGACCGGCAUCUCAAACCGCUCGGCUUGAGUACGGGAGAGGGUGUGGGAAUUCCUGGUGUAGCGGUGAAAUGCGUAGAUAUCAGGAGGAACACCGGUGGCGAAGGCGCACACCUGGCCCGAUACUGACGCUGAGGCGCGAAAGCUAGGGAGCAAACG
rnacentral:rRNA from 1 species